rnacentral:misc_RNA from 1 species
CUGGUAUUUGCUGUCCAUGUAGCUUUGGUGUCUGGCAUAUGCCAGAGUGAUCAGCAAUCUUUGUUGGUCCAAUUAAGCAACACUCUCGCGUUCAAUCAAUCCAAGUCUACAAAACUGGUGACAUGGAAAUUCAACGAAGAUUGCUGUGAGUGGGCCGGUGUAAGUUGUGAUCUGGGUGGUAAAGUUACUGACCUCAAUUUAAGCAACGAAUCAAUUUCCGGCGCACUUCAGAAUUCAAAUGCACUCUUUAGCCUUCAAUAUCUCCAGAAUCUAGAUUUGUCUUUCAACAACUUCAGCAAAGCUCUGCC